AACUUUAUAUUUUAUAUAAAAUUUUGAACUUUUAAUUCAAAGAAAAGAUUAUUCUUUAAAGUUA
rnacentral:tRNA from 2 species